UCAGUGUUAUAGAAGAGACGGCAACUUGACAGAUAAGAGGCUCCUCAGCAAGCGAGCGAUUGUGCGAGUUAAGGCGUCAGUAGCAUUAAGCGCUCUGAG